UGAACUAUGAAGACAUGCACUGCAUAACACAAUCAUCCAUCUACAAUCCAAGAACAGAAGAAACACUUACGGGAAGGCAACAGAGAGAAACAAAUUACUCGUAAAACAACAGAAAAUGGCAAAAAAAGGGGAGAAGCAGAAGGCAUCAACAUGAUUCUAAACACUAUGUUCAACGAAGUUUUAUUGAAGGUCAUAGAUUGAUUGUUACAAAAUCUUGAAGCCGAAAAGGAAGCCAAUG
rnacentral:misc_RNA from 1 species